UUGAUCUCAAAUCAGGCGGGACUACCCGCUGAACUUAAGCAUAUCAAUAAGCGGAGGAAAAGAAACUAACAAGGAUUCCCCUAGUAACUGCGAGUGAAGCGGGAAAAGCUCAAAUUUGAAAUCUGGCGGUCUUUGGCCGUCCGAGUUGUAGUCUGGAGAAGCGCUUUCCGCGCCGGACCGUGUACAAGUCCUCUGGAACGGGGCGUCAUAGAGGGUGAGAAUCCCGUCUUUGACACGGACUGCCGGUGCUCUGUGAUGUGCUCUCGAAGAGUCGAGUUGUUUGGGAAUGCAGCUCAAAAUGGGUGGUGAAUUCCAUCUAAAGCUAAAUAUUGGCGAGAGACCGAUAGCGAACAAGUACCGUGAGGGAAAGAUGAAAAGCACUUUGGAAAGAGAGUUAAACAGUACGUGAAAUUGUUGAAAGGGAAACGCUUGAAGUCAGUCACGUCGACCAGGAUUCAGCCUUGCGAUCUCGCUCGGUGUACUUUCUGGUUCGAUGGGCCAGCAUCGAUUUUGAUCAUCGGACAAAGGCGGGGGAAAUGUGGCACCCUUUUCUGGGUGUGUUAUAGUCCCUCGUUCGGUAUACGGUGGUCGGGAUCGAGGAACUUGGCAUGCCUUUGUGGUCGGGGCUUUGGCCCACGUCUCAUGCUUAGGAUGCUGCGUA
rnacentral:rRNA from 1 species